rnacentral:rRNA from 2 species
GUGGUAAUGCCGGAUGCUCCAGUUGAUCGCAUGGUCUUCUGGGAAAGCUUUCGCGGUAUGGGAUGGGGUCGCGUCCUAUCAGCUUGACGGCGGGGUAACGGCCCACCGUGGCUUCGACGGGUAGCCGGCCUGAGAGGGCGACCGGCCACAUUGGGACUGAGAUACGGCCCAGACUCCUACGGGAGGCAGCAGUGGGGAAUAUUGCACAAUGGGCGCAAGCCUGAUGCAGCGACGCCGCGUGAGGGAUGGAGGCCUUCGGGUUGUAAACCUCUUUUAUCGGGGAGCAAGCGAGAGUGAGUUUACCCGUUGAAUAAGCACCGGCUAACUACGUGCCAGCAGCCGCGGUAAUACGUAGGGUGCAAGCGUUAUCCGGAAUUAUUGGGCGUAAAGGGCUCGUAGGCGGUUCGUCGCGUCCGGUGUGAAAGUCCAUCGCUUAACGGUGGAUCCGCGCCGGGUACGGGCGGGCUUGAGUGCGGUAGGGGAGACUGGAAUUCCCGGUGUAACGGUGGAAUGUGUAGAUAUCGGAAAAGAACACCA